GACGAACGCUGGCGGCGUGCCUAAUACAUGCAAGUAGAACGCUGAAGGAGGAGCUUGCUUCUCUGGAUGAGUUGCGAACGGGUGAGUAACGCGUAGGUAACCUGCCUGGUAGCGGGGGAUAACUAUUGGAAACGAUAGCUAAUACCGCAUAAGAGUAGAUGUUGCAUGACAUUUGCUUAAAAGGUGCACUUGCAUCACUACCAGAUGGACCUGCGUUGUAUUAGCUAGUUGGUGAGGUAACGGCUCACCAAGGCGACGAUACAUAGCCGACCUGAGAGGGUGAUCGGCCACACUGGGACUGAGACACGGCCCAGACUCCUACGGGAGGCAGCAGUAGGGAAUCUUCGGCAAUGGACGGAAGUCUGACCGAGCAACGCCGCGUGAGUGAAGAAGGUUUUCGGAUCGUAAAGCUCUGUUGUAAGAGAAGAACGAGUGUGAGAGUGGAAAGUUCACACUGUGACGUAUCUACCAGAAAGGACG
rnacentral:rRNA from 1 species